rnacentral:rRNA from 1 species
GUCAUACUUCCAGGAAAAGCUUGCACUGUCAGAAACAGAUAAUGCCUGUACCAUAACCGACACAGGUGGGUAGGUAGAGUAUACUAAGGGGCGCGAGAUAACUCUCUCUAAGGAACUCGGCAAAAUGACUCCGUAACUUCGGGAGAAGGAGUGCCUUAUUUAUAAGGUUGCAAUAACAAGAUCCAAGCAACUGUUUAUCAAAAACACAGGUCUCCGCUAAGUCGUAAGACGAUGUAUGGGGGCUGACGCCUGCCCAGUGCCAGAAGGUUAAAGAAGUUGGUUAGUGUAUGCGAAGCUGAUGACUGAAGCCCUGGUGAACGGCGGCCGUAACAAUAACGGUCCUAAGGUAGCGAAAUUCCUUGUCGGGUAAGUUCCGACCCGCACGAAAGGCGUAAUGAUUUGGAUACUGUCUCGGAGAGAGGCUCGGUGAAAUAGACUUGUCUGUGAAGAUGCGGACUACCUGCACCAGGACAGAAAGACCCUAUGAAGCUUUACUGUAACUUGAAAUUGGAAUUGGACUUUGCUUGCGCAGUAUAGGUGGGAAGCGUUGAAGAUAUUCUUGCGGGAGUAUUGGAGCUAUCAGUGAGAUACCACUCUUGUAAUGUUAGAUUUCUAACUUUGAACCAUAAUCUGGUCAAAGAACAGUUUCAGGUGGGCAGUUUGACUGGGGCGGUCGCCUCCCAAAUGGUAACGGAGGCGUACAAAGGUUUCCUCUGAACGGAUAGAAAUCGUAUCUAGAGUGUAAAGGCAUAAGGAAGCUUGACUGUGAGACCUACAAGUCGAGCAGGGACGAAAGUCGGUCUUAGUGAUCUGACGGUACUGAGUGGAAAGGCCGUCACUCAACGGAUAAAAGUUACUCUAGGGAUAACAGGCUGAUCUCCCCCAAGAGUUCACAUCGACGGGGAGGUUUGGCACCUCGAUGUCGGCUCAUCGCAUCCUGGGGCGGUAGUACGUCCCAAGGGUUGGGCUGUUCGCCCAUGAAAGCGGUACGCGAGCUGGGUUCAGAACGUCGUGAGACAGUUCGGUCCAUAUCCGGUGUAGGCGUUAGAAUAUUGAGAGGAGCCUUCUUUAGUACGAGAGGACCGAGAAGGACACACCGCUGGUGUACCAGUUAUCGUGCCAACGGUAAACGCUGGGUAGCUAUGUGUGGAGUGGAUAACCGCUGAAAGCAUCUAAGUGGGAAGCCCACCUCAAGAUGAG